rnacentral:rRNA from 1 species
CCUACGGGGGGCAGCAGUAGGGAAUAUUGCUCAAUGGGCGAAACCCUGAAGCAGCAAAGCCGCGUGGAGGAUGAAGGUUUUCGGAUUGUAAACUCCUUUUGUUAGAGAAGAUAAUGACGGUAUCUAACGAAUAAGCACCGGCUAACUCCGUGCCAGCAGCCGCGGUAAUACGGAGGGUGCAAGCGUUACUCGGAACCACUGGGCGUAAAGGGCGCGUAGGCGGGAUAGCAAGUCAGAUGUGAAAUCCUAUGGCUUAACCAUAGAACUGCAGUUGAAACUGUUAUUCUAGAGUAUGGGAGAGGUAGGUGGAAUUCUUGGUGUAGGGGUAAAAUCCGUAGAGAUCAAGAGGAAUACUCAUUGCGAAGGCGACCUGCUAGAACAUAACUGACGCUGAUGCGCGAAAGCGUGGGGAGCAAACAGGAUUAGAUACCCUAGUAGUC